AGAGUAUGGGCAUGGCAGGAAUGCUAGACGAGAUAAUUAACUAUGUACAAUCACUGCAGAACCAAAUCGAGUUUCUUUCUCUGAAACUUCUAGCUGCAUGCUCCGUCAAUGACCAUCAUUGCCUCGACAUGGAGGCCAUUGCAGCACCCCAGGGUGGUAAUGAGCUGUUGGUGGCAAGGGAUGAGUACUACGGCACUGGAAACAGCAGUUUCUCUGUUACCAUGCCAUUUUAAUUAUACUCUUUGGGUAAUUACAUACAAUUCUGUGACUUUGUGCAUGGAUUAUUUCUCAUGCACUUGAGAGGAUAGCGUAGAAAUAAAUGAAUAAUG